GACGAACGCUGGCGGCGUGCUUAACACAUGCAAGUCGAACGGUGAAGGGAUCAGCUUGCUGGUCCUGGAUGAGUGGCGAACGGGUGAGUAACACGUGAGUAACCUGCCCCCUUCUUCUGGAUAACCGCAUGAAAGUGUGGCUAAUACGGGAUAUUCUGCGCCUGCUGCAUGGUGGGUGUGGGAAAGAUAUUGUUUCGGUGGGGGAUGGGCUCGCGGCCUAUCAGCUUGUUGGUGGGGUGAUGGCCUACCAAGGCGGUGACGGGUAGCCGGCCUGAGAGGGUGGACGGUCACACUGGGACUGAGACACGGCCCAGACUCCUACGGGAGGCAGCAGUGGGGAAUAUUGCACAAUGGGCGCAAGCCUGAUGCAGCGACGCCGCGUGAGGGAUGGAGGCCUUCGGGUUGUGAACCUCUUUCGCCAGUGAAGCAGGCCUGUCCCUUGUGGGUGGGUUGACGGUAGCUGGAGAAGAAGCGCCGGCUAACUACGUG
rnacentral:rRNA from 1 species